UACGAAGGGGGCUAGCGUUGCUCGGAAUUACUGGGCGUAAAGCGCACGUAGGCGGCUUUCUAAGUCGGGUGUGAAAUUUCGGAGCUUAACUCCGAAACUGCAUUCGAUACUGCGGUGCUUGAGGACUGGAGAGGAGACUGGAAUUCAUGGUGUAGCAGUGAAAUGCGUAGAGAUCAUGAGGAAGACCAGUGGCGAAGGCGGGUCUCUGGACAGUUCCUGACACUGAGACACGAAGGCCAGGGGAGCAAACGGG
rnacentral:rRNA from 1 species